rnacentral:rRNA from 1 species
AACGAACGCUGGCGGCAUGCCUAACACAUGCAAGUCGAACGAGACCUUCGGGUCUAGUGGCGCACGGGUGCGUAACGCGUGGGAAUCUGCCCUUGGGUUCGGAAUAACAGUUAGAAAUGACUGCUAAUACCGGAUGAUGUCUUCGGACCAAAGAUUUAUCGCCCAGGGAUGAGCCCGCGUAGGAUUAGCUAGUUGGUGGGGUAAAGGCCUACCAAGGCGACGAUCCUUAGCUGGUCUGAGAGGAUGAUCAGCCACACUGGGACUGAGACACGGCCCAGACUCCUACGGGAGGCAGCAGUGGGGAAUAUUGGACAAUGGGCCGAAAGCCUGAUCCAGCAAUAGCCGCGUGAGUGAUGAAGGCCUUAGGUGUAAGCUCUUUACCCGGAUGAUAAUG